rnacentral:rRNA from 1 species
AACGAACGCUGGCGGCAGGCCUAACACAUGCAAGUCGAGCGCCCCGCAAGGGGAGCGGCGGACGGGUGAGUAACGCGUGGGAAUAUGCCCUUUGCUACGGAAUAGUCUCGGGAAACUGGGGGUAAUACCGUAUACGCCCUUUGGGGGAAAGAUUUAUCGGCGAAGGAUUAGCCCGCGUUGGAUUAGGUAGUUGGUGGGGUAAUGGCCUACCAAGCCGACGAUCCAUAGCUGGUUUGAGAGGAUGAUCAGCCACACUGGGACUGAGACACGGCCCAGACUCCUACGGGAGGCAGCAGUGGGGAAUCUUAGACAAUGGGGGCAACCCUGAUCUAGCCAUGCCGCGUGAGUGAUGAAGGCCUUAGGGUUGUAAAACUCUUUCAGCUGGGAAGAUAAUGACGGUACCAGCAGAAGAAGCCCCGGCUAACUCCGUG